GCUGUAGUCAAUGAACUAUACAUAGGUAUUACAUAGGUAUUCCUCCUGUCCAGAUGGGAUAGGGCAGUGUGAUGGUGAUUGCAUAGUCAGUGGACCUAUUGGGGCGGUAAGCAAAUUGGAGUGGGUCUUGGGUAUCAGGUAGGGUGGAGGUGAUAUGAUCCUUGACUAGUCUCUCAAAGCACUUCAUGAUGACAGAAGUGAGUGCACUGGGGCGAUAGUCAUUUAGUUCAGAUACCUUAGCUUUCUUGGGAACAGGGACAAUGGUGGCCAUCUUGAAGCAUGUGGGGACAACAGACUGGGAUAGUGGUUGGUUGAAUAUGUCCGUAAACACACCAGCCUGCUGGUCUGCGCAUGCUCCAAGGACGCAGCUAGGGAUGGCGUCUGGGCCGGCAGCCUUGUGAGGGUUAACACGUUUAAAUGUUUUACUCACGUUGGCCACGGAGAAGGAGAGCCCACAGGCUUUGGUAGCGAGCCGUGUCAGUGGCACUGUAUUAUUCUCAAAGCGAGCAAAGAAGUUAUUUAAUUUGUCUGGGAGCAAGACGUCGAUGUCCGCAACGGGGAUGGUUUUCUUUUUGUAAUCCGUGAUUGACUGUAGACCCUGUCACAUACGUCUCGUGUUUGAGCCGUUGAAUUGCGACUACUUUGUCUCUCGAAGUUCAAGUAGCAAUGAUCCAGAAUUCUGCCAGCUCGUGUCGCGGAUUCGUUAUGCUAAUAUAAUUUAGGGAGUAUUGAUCUUAGGUUAGCUUUGUUAAAAUCCCCAGCUACAAUAAAUGCAGCCUCAGGAUGUAUAGUUUCCAGUUUACAGAGUCCAGUGAAUUUCUUUCAGGGCCGACGAGGUAUCUGCUUGGGGGGGCGGAUAUACACGGCUGUGACUAUAAUCGAAGAGAAUUCUCUUGGACGAUAAUGUGGUCGGCAUUUGAUUGUAAGGAAUUCUAGGUCAGGUAAACAAAAGGAGUUCCUGUAUGUUGCUGUAAUACCACAAGUCGUUAAUCAUAAGGCAUACACCCCCACCCUUCUUCUUACCAUAGAGAUAUUUGUUUCUGUCGGCCCGAUGCGUGAAGAAACCGGGUGGCUGUACCAACUCUGACAACAUAUCCCAAAGAUUGGACAUUGGUGAGUAAUAUCCUUGAAAGCGGUGGAUGGUGUGCUCGGCGUCUGACCAGUAGGCCGCUCCAUCUGCCUCUCCUGUGGCGACCGCGUUGUUUUGGGUCAGCCACUGGGAUAAGAUUGCAUGUCCAGGGUCGAGGUCUGAACAAAGGAUCCACUUCGAUCCACAGACGUAUUCCUGGUAAUGAUGGACCCGAAGCGAGUCGACCCUCUGUCGGCGCCAGCUGAUUCUCCUCAGAGACAUGGAGGAAGAGGAAGGGGACAAUGCUGUGAAGGCAUGUUGUGAGGGAGAUGUGGGCCGUUCCAGUACCAGCGGGUGACAGUUACUCCCCUGAACCAGCAAAACAAGACCAGCUAAUUCACACUGACUCCAGGCUGCAACUGCUCCUUCCUGUUGAAGAUUUCCUGUCUGUGUGUCCAAAGCCCCGACCCUGACUACAGCCUACCCCAGACCUAGGUACUGUACAGCCCAACUGUCUACUGCCUAAUAGGUCUGGGUGCCAUUUAACAAGUCAAAACACCAUCUAUGCCUGCAAAGAGUCAAGGUCAUUAAAAACUUCUUCAGGAUCGGUGGGUCCCCUGCGGGACUGUUGAGCUAACGUGGGCUAAUGCGAUUAACAUGUGGGUGUAAGGAACAAUAACAUUUCCCAGAACAUAGACAUACAGUUGAAGUCGUAAGUUUACAUACACCUUAGCCAAAUACAUUUAAACUCAGUUUUUCACAAUCCCUGACAUCUAAUCGUAGUACAAAUUCCCUGUCUUAGGUCAGUUAGGAUCACCACUUUAUUUUAAGUAUGUGAAAUGUCAGAAUAAUAGCAGAGAGAAUUAUUUAUUUCAGCUUUUAUUUCUUUCAUCACAUUCCCAGUGGGUCAGAAGUUUACAUACACUCAAUUAGUAGGCCUCCUUGCUCGCACACGCUUUUUAAGUUCUGCCCACAAUUGUUCUAUCGGAUUGAGGUCAGGGCUUUGUGAUGGCCACUCCAAUACCUUAGUAUGCUUGGGGUCAUUGUCCAUUUGGAAGACCCUUUUGCGACCAAGCUUUAACUGAUGUCUUGAGACGUUGCUUCAAUAUAGCCACUUAAUUUUCCUUUCUCAUGAUGCCAUCUAUUUUAUGAAGUGCACCAGUCCCUCCUACAGGAAAGCACCCCCACAAAAUGAUGGUGCCCCCCCGUGCUUCACUGUUGGGAUGGUGUUCUUUGGCUUGCAAGCCCUCUUUUUCCUCCAAACACAAAGAUGGUCAUUAUGACCAAACAGUUCUAUUUUUGUUUCAUCAAACCAGAGUACAUUUCUCCUAAAAGCACAAUCUUUGUCCCCAUUUGAAGUUGCAAACCAUAGUCUGGCUUUUUAUGGCGGUUUUGGAGCAGUGGCUUCUUCCUUUCUGAGCGGCCUUUCAGGCUAUGUCGAUAUAGGACGCGUUUUAAUGUGGCUAUAGAUCAUUUUGUACCUGUUUCCUCCAGCAUCUUCACAAAGUCCUUUGCUGCUGUUCUGGUAUUGAUUUGCACAUUUCGCACCAAAGUACGUUCAUCUCUGGGAGACAGAACGUGCCUCCUUCCUGAGCGGUAUGACGGCUGCGUGGUCCAUGGUGUUCAUAAUUACGUACUAUUGUUUGUACAGAUGAACAUGGUACCUUCAGGCGUUUGGAAAUUGCUCCCAAGGAUGAACCAGACUUGUGGAGGUCUAUUUUUUUUCUGAAGUCUUGGCUGAUUUCUUUUGAUCCUCCCAUGAUGUCAAGCAAAGAGGCACUGAGUUUGAAGGUAGGUCUUGAAAUACAUCCACAGGUACACCUCCAAUUGACUCAAAUGAUGUCAAUUAGCCUAUCAGAAGCUUCUAAACUGACAAAAUGACAUCAUUUUCUGGAAUUUUCCAAGCUGUUUAAAGGCACAGUCAACUUAGUGUAUGUAAACGUCUGACCCACUGGAAUUGUGAUAUAGUGAAUUAUAAGUGAAAUAAUCUGUUUGUAAACAAUUGUUGCAAAAAUUACUUGUGUCAUGCACAAAGUAGAUGUCCUAACCGACUAUAGUUGUUAACAAGACAUUUGUGGAGUGGUUGAAAAAUGAGUUUUAAUGACUCCAAACUAAUUGUAUGUAAACUUCCGACUUCAACUGUAUCUGAUAUUGCCCACCCAACUACAUCAUCCCCAUAUUGCUUUGUUUUUUUGGUCCUUUGUACCCCAGUAUCUCUACUUGCACAUCAUCUUCUGCACAUCUAUCACUCCAGUGUUUAUUUGCGAAAUGUUAAUUAUUUUGCAACUAUGGCCUAUUUAUUGCCUUACCUCCCUAAUCCUACUACAUUUGCACUAACUGUAUUUGUCAUUGACUGUACGUUUGUUUAUCCCAUGGGUAACUCUGUGUUGUUUGUAUCGCACUGCUUUGCUUUAUCUUGGCCAGGUCGCAGUUGUAAAUGAACUUGUUCUCAACUGGCCUGCCUGGUUAAAU
ensembl:lncRNA